rnacentral:sRNA from 1 species
AAAAUCUUUUAUUGUAAAGAUGAUUUAAAAAUAUAUGAUAUUAUUUUAUUUGAUUUUAUAUGUAUAGUAAACUGUGAGUUCAUGUAUAUGUUUUGUUGAUAUUAUCUAUAUUAUUUAGUGUUUAAGAUUAUACACUUGUAGUUUGAUUGUUAAUUUAAGAGUUUCACCUCUAGUAUUCCAUCUUGUAUUAAUAUCGAUCUAAACCCGUCAAUUCUAGGAUUUUCCAGCUUUUAUUAAAAAUUGAAUCACAUCUAAUAUGUUAUUAAUUAUUGUACUAUAUAAGAUUAUAAAUUUUCAAUAUAAUAUGUAUGAAAUUGAAUAGAAAUAUUUCAAAUUAUGACCCGUUACUCAGUAGAAAGUUUUCUUAAAUCUAUUUUUCACCCGUUAUAAUAUUUUUUCAUGUAUUGAACAGUUUAUAUUCGUUUUUAAAAAUUCAAAUUGUGGCAUAUGCGAAAUAACUCUAAUUAUU